rfam:Desulfomonile tiedjei DSM 6799, complete genome.
GGGGCUGUAGCUCAGUUGGGAGAGCGCUUGAAUGGCAUUCAAGAGGUCGUCGGUUCGAUCCCGUCCAGCUCCA